rnacentral:rRNA from 1 species
UACAGAGGUGGCUAGCGUUGUUCGGAUUUAUUGGGCGUAAAGGGUCCGUAGGCGGCCUGAAAAGUCGGAUGUGAAAGCCCACAGCUCAACUGUGGAACGGCAUUCGAAACUUUCAGGCUCGAGUGUGAAAGGGGUAAGGGGAAUUCCCGGUGUAAGGGUGAAAUCUGUAGAGAUCGGGAAGAACACCAGUCGCGAAGGCGCCUUACUGGUUCACAACUGACGCUGAGGGACGAAAGCUAGGGGAGCAAACGGG